rnacentral:rRNA from 1 species
GAUGGACGCUAGCUACAGGCUUAACACAUGCAAGUCGAGGGGUAGCAGGGUAGCAAUACCGCUGACGACCGGCGCACGGGUGAGUAACACGUAUCCAACCUUCCCAUAACUCAGGGAUAGCCUUUCGAAAGAAAGAUUAAUACCUGAUAGUACUUAAGAAAGGCAUCAUUUUUAAGUUAAAGAUUUAUUGGUUAUGGAUGGGGAUGCGUUCCAUUAGAUAGUUGGUGAGGUAACGGCUCACCAAGUCUUCGAUGGAUAGGGGUUCUGAGAGGAAGGUCCCCCACAUUGGUACUGAGACACGGACCAAACUCCUACGGGAGGCAGCAGUGAGGAAUAUUGGUCAAUGGGCGAGAGCCUGAACCAGCCAAGUAGCGUGAAGGAUGAAGGUCCUAUGGAUUGUAAACUUCUUUUAUAGUAGAAUAAAGUGAGCCACGUGUGGUUUUUUGUAUGUAUACUAUGAAUAAGGAUCGGCUAACUCCGUGCCAGCCGCCGCAGUAA